UACGGAGGAUCCGAGCGUUAUCCGGAUUUAUUGGGUUUAAAGGGUGCGUAGGCGGUCAGGUAAGUUAGAGGUGAAAGCUCGAUGCUCAACAUCGAAACUGCCUCUGAUACUGUCUGACUAGAGUGUAGUUGCGGAAGGCGGAAUGUGUGGUGUAGCGGUGAAAUGCUUAGAUAUCACGCAGAACUCCGAUUGCGAAGGCAGCAUACCGGCGCCCGACUGACGCUGAAGCACGAAAGCGUGGGUAUCGAACAGG
rnacentral:rRNA from 1 species